rnacentral:rRNA from 1 species
CUACACAUGCAAGUCGAGCGGAUGACAGGAGCUUGCUCCUGAAUUCAGCGGCGGACGGGUGAGUAAUGCCUAGGAAUCUGCCUGGUAGUGGGGGACAACGUUUCGAAAGGAACGCUAAUACCGCAUACGUCCUACGGGAGAAAGCAGGGGACCUUCGGGCCUUGCGCUAUCAGAUGAGCCUAGGUCGGAUUAGCUAGUUGGUGAGGUAAUGGCUCACCAAGGCGACGAUCCGUAACUGGUCUGAGAGGAUGAUCAGUCACACUGGAACUGAGACACGGUCCAGACUCCUACGGGAGGCAGCAGUGGGGAAUAUUGGACAAUGGGCGAAAGCCUGAUCCAGCCAUGCCGCGUGUGUGAAGAAGGUCUUCGGAUUGUAAAGCACUUUAAGUUGGGAGGAAGGGCAUUAACCUAAUACGUUAGUGUUUUGACGUUACCGACAGAAUAAGCACCGGCUAACUCUGUGCCAGCAGCCGCGGUAAUACAGAGGGUGCAAGCGUUAAUCGGAAUUACUGGGCGUAAAGCGCGCGUAGGUGGUUUGUUAAGUUGGAUGUGAAAGCCCCGGGCUCAACCUGGGAACUGCAUUCAAAACUGACAAGCUAGAGUAUGGUAGAGGGUGGUGGAAUUUCCUGUGUAGCGGUGAAAUGCGUAGAUAUAGGAAGGAACACCAGUGGCGAAGGCGACCACCUGGACUGAUACUGACACUGAGGUGCGAAAGCGUGGGGAGCAAACAGGAUUAGAUA